UAGGGGAAAUCUUCCACAAUGGACGAAAGUCUGAUGGAGCAACGCCGCGUGAGUGAAGAAGGGUUUCGGCUCGUAAAACUCUGUUGUUAAAGAAGAACAUAUCUGAGAGUAACUGUUUCAGGUAUUGACGGUAUUUAACCAGAAAGCCACGGCUAACUACGUGCUAG
rnacentral:rRNA from 1 species